rnacentral:misc_RNA from 1 species
GGAAGGAUCAUUAUCGAUUGUGAAUCGUUGCCUUCAGUGCUGGCCAGCUUGGCAAGUGCACGUUGGUGACUUUCAUCCAAAUACCUGUGAACCUUUGCCUUUUGCUUGCUUCGGCUGGCGGGGGAAUUUUUACACACACACGAAUGUAAUGAUAUUUAAUUGUCGUGCGCAAGCACAAAUGUACAACUUUCAACAACGGAUCUCUUGGCUCUCGCAUCGAUGAAGAACGCAGCGAAAUGCGAUAAGUAAUGUGAAUUGCAGAAUUCAGUGAAUCAUCGAAUCUUUGAACGCACCUUGCACCCUUUGGCAUUCCGAAGGGUAUGCUCGUUUGAGUGUCAUUGUACUCUCACACUUCCAAUCUUUGGUUGGGAGCGGUGGACUUGGGUGUUGCCGCUUCACCGUGGCUCACCUCAAAUGGAUUAGUGCAACUCCUAGUUGGGCACAGUACGGCGUGAUAAGUGUCUUCGCCGGCACCUCACUAGAGGGUGGUCAAUUGGGAGCGCUGUGCUGCAAACCGUCUUUGGACAAUAGCUGACAACUUGACCUCAAAUCGAGUAGGACUACCCGCUGAACUUAAGCAUAUCAAUAAGCGGAGGAAAAGAAACUAACAAGGAUUCCCCUAGUAACGGCGAGUGAAGAGGGAAGAGCUCAAAUUUUGAAUCUGGCGUCUUUGGCGUCCGAAUUGUAAUCUAGAGAAGUGUUUUCCGUGGCGGACCGUGCAUAAGUCUCCUGGAAUGGGGCGUCAUAGAGGGUGAGAAUCCCGUUUAUGGCACGGACUCCCGUUGCUCUGUGAUACACUCUCGACGAGUCGAGUUGUUUGGGAAUGCAGCUCCAAAUGGGUGGUAAAUGCCAUCUAAAGCUAAAUAUUGGCGAGAGACCGAUAGCGAACAAGUACCGUGAGGGAAAGAUGAAAAGCACUUUGGAAAGAGAGUGAAACAGUACGUGAAAUUGUUGAAAGGGAAACGCUUGGAGUCAGUCGCGCCGUUCGGGAUUCAGCCUUGCUUCUGCUCGGUUUACUUCCCGUUGGGUGGGUCAACAUCAGUUUCAGUCGGAGGAGAAAGGCCUGGGGAAGGUGGCAGCAUUCGUGCUGUGUUAUAGCCCCUUGUUGUAUACUUCGAUUGGGACUGAGGACCGCAGCACGCCUUUGGCCGGGGUUCGCCCACGUACGUGCUUAGGAUGUUGGCAUAAUGGCUUUAAGCGACCCGUCUUGAAACACGGACCAAGGAGUCUAACAUGCCUGCGAGUGUUUGGGUGUUAAACUCGGACGCGAAAUGAAAGUGAAAAGUUGGGAACACUUAUGUGUGCACCGACGCCCGGAGCUGACCUUCUGUGACGCAUCUGCGGUAGAGCGUAUAUGUUGGGACCCGAAAGAUGGUGAACUAUGCCUGAAUAGGGUGAAGCCAGAGGAAACUCUGGUGGAGGCUCGUAGCGAUUCUGACGUGCAAAUCGAUCGUCAAAUUUGGGUAUAGGGGCGAAAGACUAAUCGAACCAUCUAGUAGCUGGUUCCUGC